UGAACGCUAGCGGCAGGCUUAAUACAUGCAAGUCGUGGGGCAGCAUGAGUAGCAAUACUUGAUGGCGACCGGCAAACGGGUGAGGAACACGUACACAACCUUCCUUCAAGCGGGGAAUAGCCCAGAGAAAUUUGGAUUAAUACCCCAUAAUAUAUUUGAUAAGGCAUCUUAUUAAUAUUGAAGCUUCGGCACUUGAUGAUGGGUGUGCGGCUGAUUAGAUAGUUGGCGGGGUAACGGCCCACCAAGUCUACGAUCAGUAGCUGAUGUGAGAGCAUGAUCAGCCACGCGGGCACUGAGACACGGGCCCGACUCCUACGGGAGGCAGCAGUAAGGAAUAUUGGACAAUGGACGAAAGUCUGAUCCAGCCAUGCCGCGUGAAGGAUUAAGGUCCUCUGGAUUGUAAACUUCUUUUAUAUGGGACGAAAAAAGGGCAUUCUUGUUCACUUGACGGUACCAUAUGAAUAAGCACCGGCUAACUCCGUG
rnacentral:rRNA from 1 species